rnacentral:rRNA from 1 species
GUGGGGAAUCUUAGACAAUGGGCGAAAGCCUGAUCCAGCCAUGCCGCGUGAGUGAUGAAGGCCUUAGGGUUGUAAAGCUCUUUCAGUAGGGAAGAUAAUGACGGUACCUACAGAAGAAGCCCCGGCUAACUUCGUGCCAGCAGCCGCGGUAAUACGAAGGGGGCUAGCGUUGUUCGGAUUUACUGGGCGUAAAGCGCACGUAGGCGGAUUGGUCAGUUAGAGGUGAAAUCCUGGAGCUCAACUCCAGAACUGCCUUUAAUACUGCCAGUCUAGAGUCCAGAAGAGGUGAGUGGAACUCCUAGUGUAGAGGUGGAAUUCGUAGAUAUUAGGAAGAACACCAGUGGCGAAGGCGGCUCACUGGUCUGGUACUGACGCUGAGGUGCGAAAGCGUGGGGAGCAAACAGGAUUAGAUACCCGAGUAGUCC